UACGUAGGCAGCGAGCGUUGUUCGGAAUUACUGGGCGUAAAGAGUGUGUAGGCGGUGCUCCCAGUCUGUUGUGAAAUCUCCCGGCUUAACUGGGAGGGUGCAGCGGAAACUAGAGUGCUAGAGGGUGGGAGAGGUAAGCGGAAUUCCUGGUGUAGCGGUGAAAAUGCGUAGAUAUCAGGAGGAACACCGAUGGCGAAGGCAGAUCUCUGGGCCGUAACUGACGCUGAGGAGCGAAGCGUGGGGAGCGAACAGGA
rnacentral:rRNA from 1 species